CAAGCACUGAGGACUGAAAAGCUCUACCUGACACUGUAGAUCACGCAGGACCUGCAUUUUCUGGUUGCCAAGCAACCUCUACAUUAUAAAAUCUUUUGGAGAUGCUGCACGAAAAAUAAAUCCAAGCAAUGAACAAGAUUCAAGCUCACCCUCAGACCACUUCAUGCAGGAGCAAAAGAUAAAAGGAACAAAGCAGCAACUGUAAGAAGCUAUCCUGUCUGCAGGAGGCAAAGUAGAUAAAAAAGCACCAUCAUGCUCAUGCUAGCUCGUCCCAUUCUACUUCUACUCAGAGAUCUACUUUAGGAUUGAAAAGGGUUAUUCAAAAUUAAAUAUCCUGCUUGGGCUGUAAAAAAAAUAGAAAC